GCGGGGCAGCGGCGGCCCCGUCCAGCCGCACUCACCUCCUGAAGUCAAAGGGCAUGGUGCUGGUUGUGGCGGGCGCCGGGCAGGCUGAGGGCCCCGCCGCCCCCGGGCCCGGCUCUCGCCUCGCUGCCGCCGGCUGCAGGGCCAGGAAAUGACGGCCCCGCCGCCGCGCAGCGCUCAGCCCAUUGGGCGGCUGGGGCCGGCCGCCGCUUCCGCCGCCGGGUUACGGGCAGCGGCGGGAGUCGGGGAGGCCCCGGGCUGCUGCGCCUUCAGAGCCGCGUCCCCACGUCAGGGUUCGAAGUGCCGCCCGCCAGCAGCGCUGCCUGCGGGCUGACACGCACCGCGCUGGUGCUGGAUGAACCCACUUGGUGCCGGCCUGGCUCUUUGACUUUCUUUUGCAAACCUUUCUGCGUUUUUAUUGGAGGACAAAGAGUUAAAGUGAGAAAAAGCUCCCUGUUUUACAGGCAAGACGUUUCCCUAUCACCUGAGCCCCUCUGAUCUGCUGUCUUGCCGUUUUGCCUGAAGCAUUAAUGCUUUUGUCUGACUCUGUCCCUGCCAGAUUUAAUGCCACGCACAUCACUGAUCUCACAUUCAUCAUCCUGCACCACAGGUUGUUCCCUUAACAUCUCCACAUCAUAGCCUCAGUCAGGGACUUUCUGCUGCAGAUAAACUGUGACCGAUACUGUACUGAGGAGUGAAGCGGUGCCUUCGUACUGUGCGUGUUAGGUUAUAACACAGGAAUAGAAUACAGCUACUUUUGUCUUCUCAGCCUAAAAGCAGAACAAGAGAAAGAGAGAAAUGGCAGCAAGAAAAGCAUGCUGCUGUUCUCGUUGAUUCUGCACCGAUUCUGGAGCUUUCCUCCUCUUCCACCUGCUGUCACAGUCUCUGUGCUUAGAGAUCCACAGUUUUCCAACUUUUGCUUUCACCCAGAAACCAGGCCCAGAGUCGGAAAAAGAAUAGUAGUUCAGAUUGAAAUAAGUAGAGGAAAAAUACCUAACAGUCAGAGCUGCUAAUCAACGCCAUGGUCUUACAAAGGAAGAGAUAAUAAUUAUUGAUGGGAAUAUUUAGAAAUACAGUGUAGGAGUCCUGGGGUGAGAUAACAAGGCCCAAUCCCUCCAAAGCCCCCCAGGGAACAAAUGAAGAAGCCUAAUUGGCUUUUUGAUCUCAGACAUCUAAAUUACCCGAAUUGCAUUGUGCAAGUGCAUUCAGCAGAUUGCAUUCAGCAGAUUGCAAACUGGUCAGCCACCAAACCCUGCCACACUGUGCGCUGUGCUUCAAAACUGAACAGCCUGCUGAAACUGAUGAGACAGCUCUCAUCUCUCAGGAGGUCAAACUAGUUGUGUAGGCAUAGGCAGGGGGUCUAUCUGUAGUGGAAAAGCAAAGCAGCAAACAAACAAACAAACAAAACCCAGCAAUAAAACAGUGCCUAUCAAGUUAUAGUUGCACAACCCAGUGCUACUCUGGGCUCCUGGCAAGGCCCCCGUGUUGUUUGCUAUUAUUAACCAUCUUGUGCAAAAACCAACCCAGGAGCCAAGGCAAUGCUAAAGUGGUUACAAAAGUAUUUCACCUGUAGGGUAGACAAAUCGGGAGGUUGCCUUGAACACUCAUUCCUCUGUCAGGCCCAAGGAUUGAGGAUGCAACGCAGUGAGAGCUCACAUUGGGAAGUUUUGUUUCCAACUAAAAGGUCAAACUGAAGAAACUGAUGGACCCAGAGCAGCGCCAAGACAGCUUUCCAAUUUGUUCCAGUUCACUUACAUCCUUGCCAAGGGAAGAAGAAGUUAAUGCCCUGAGAUAAGACCCUCAUCACAAUAUUGUUUAAUUACAUAAGACUUCUAGCGAGCCUGAGAUAAGCGCAGGAAUUUGUCCUCAGUCCAGCUGGGUGCGGCUGCUUAGAUCAUGUUGUGUAUUAGAAUGAGAACUGAAAGCCUGGGUUUAUUCGAGGUGCUUGCCAUAUCAUUACAGCUGGAAUAAAUAAACUGAUACUGACAGCUGAUUUAAAAGUUAUCUUUUUUUUUCAUGUAAGUCAUAGGUGAACAUUUACUAAUAACAGCAGCCAUAAAGUUAUGCAUUGUUUCUCUUCAAGUAGCAUUAGUAACAUUAAUUGGGAUAACUCUGAAAUCAGCAAGCAAAACUUUUAAGUACUCUUUCACCAGGGAAGAGACUGAAGCAGAGGGGUGAAUUGGAUGACCUAAGGCUACAGAAAAAGGGCGUGACUCUGGCUGCAUGAAGCAUUGAACACAACUGCCGUUCAGGAAAAGGAAAAAACAUUUCAGAGAAUGAACAGAAAAAGUUAUAAAACAUUUAAAAAUAUAAAUAACAGCAUGUGAGGAAAUAUUUCUGGAGAAACAGGAUGCGCCUGUAGGUGAAGAAUUCAAACACAAGUGCUGUGCUAAGUAUAAUCAGUAAUGAAAGCUCAGCCCUUCCUCUUAGCAUUUUAGCAAGCUACUUGUUGGCAGCGUUUUCCAAAUAUCAGGGAACAAAAAAAGUGAGCUUUAAGUCUUCAUGCAGUGUAGGAUGCGGUUGUCAUUAUCCUAUAUCCUAUAGCUAUCAAUCUAUUAUGAGACUGCAUCUUGAAUGGGCAGUGGAAUAAAUUCAUAUCUGUUCAACUUAUACAAAGGUCCUUCUUCAUUGAGUGUCUGAGUUUUUCCCUUACAACAUGAAAACAACCUCUCUUCUUCCUGCUCAGGGUAACAACAUGAUCAUUUUAUGGAUCCCAGGGCUGGCCGCAGCCGCUGUGUAUGUGUACAAGGGAGGGGGCCCACACAGCCACGCAGCCUCUUCCCUGCCCCAUGACAUUGAGUGAGCACUGAACUGGGCAAUGCUAAUGGAAAUCUUCACCUCUUAAAGCCCCACAAAAUGUACCCUGUGUUUAAUACUCUUUCUAUUUGCUUGCUUGUUUGCUUUAGUUUUCGGCAUGUCAGGUAUUUACUAUGGCAAAGCCACAGUGAACAGUAAGUUUUUGUGUUUGCUUCCAUUUCCACUGUGGAAAUGAACUCUGUGGACAAGUUCCAGCCGCUGUCAGCCUUGCCUCACACAGCCCCUCAGUAUUGAUCAGUGACCAGUGCAGUUUGGGAGACUGAAAUCGUGCACAGGGUCACGGCCAAAGGCAGUGGAGUUAACCGGAUGCACGUUAACCAUUAACUGGAGGUAAGCAGCGUAAUCAAGGACUUUGAACACAGAAACAGAGGGCCAAAUCUCAAAGGGAUUUUGAUUAGUAAAAAAGAGUUGAAGUUUAGCACCUAAAGGAGUUCAAUUAAUUCAAUAAUUCAGUAAUUCAAAGGAAGAAUAUUCUGUAGUGAGUUAAAUGCCUAAAUUCCCUGUACUUGGGAGAGGAAUAAUUAGGAGCCUAAGGACUUUUGCCCAUGGCUGGUACACUGAGUGGUGAGAUACCUGCAUCAGCCAGCAGGAAAUACCUGGGAGAAAGGGUUAUGUGAGGUUGUCCCUAUGAAACCCUGAUAUGGAACCAAAAAGUGGUUGUUUGUGGCUUUAGGUAAGUCACACAUUUAGCAUAGAUACUUGAAUCAGACUCCUCUGUGGAAAUUUUCCUGGGAGAUAAGCCACCACCUUCGUUUUACAUACUCCCAAGUCCACUUCUGGACCUUUGAACUUACAGGGAGUGCUGUGAGAAACUUUGAGCAUUCAGGGGAAGAAAGGAGAGGACUCUCUGUCCAGUGCCAUAAAGCUGAGCCACUGUGUGACCAGGAGUGCGAAUUGUUGUUCUGGAAUAGGGUGCCUGCCAUCUGCUGUUUGGCCAAAGAGAGACUCCAGAUUGGUGAUAGUCUCCAAGGGUUGUCUUUUACUGUUGAAGGAGAUAGUGAGAAAAGUCAAGUGCUGUAAAUACACAGAACACACACAAGAAGAGUGGAAAGAUACGAAAGAAUGAAGAGAGAACCUGCUUGAGAUAUGAAUAAUCAUCAGAAGGGAAUCAGGAAGAAAUGAGAGCAGAUACACAGACGGGCUUGUGCAGGAACUUAGAGAAGGACGGAGAUGGACAACUGAUGGGCAUCCAACUGCAGAUACCAAAGGCUUAAAGUUGAGACACUGACUUGUGUCAAUUGCAGGUGCUGAAACAGCCAGGCCGACGUCUGUGGGCAUCUGACUGAGCAAUGGCGUGGUGCAUGCGCUCACCAUCCUGAGGCUCGUCAGUGUGACAGGCUGGAGCUGUAGAAGAUAGAGAUGACUCAUGACUGGCGCUUUAUGUAAAUGAAGAACAUCUUCUGUUGCUUCCUGUUGUACCAACGAGGCCACGUAAAGUUCACGUCAGUGACAUUGCGUUCCCAUGUCCCCUGUGUUGUUGGGGUGGGGAUGUGGGGUGAGAUCAGUGUGGUUCCCCCAGAGAGGACAUUAGGUCAAAACCAACAGUGAAUGUGAACGUGAAACCUCUGGAACACCAGGCUGAAGAAUCCUUCCCAGCGGCGAAGUGUAGAGAAAGUUUACUGUUGCCCUUUGCUGUCAGUUGCAAAAGUGAUUGAGCCACUGACUGUAAACUUUGAAGGGGAGCCACAUAAGGAGGAAGUGAAGAAUUUCAGCACAUUGCUCUCUCCUUGGGAUUUAGUCAUUUUUAGUAAGAUGUGUGGGUCAUCUAUGUGUGACAUAGCUAAUCAUCUCAUUUAGCUUAUCCAAAGCAUGAAAAAACAUACCCUUCUGCUGAGCGACAUGAUGUUGCAUGGCCCCUCCCAGCAGCCUCACAUAGGCAGCUAUCCCAUGCAAGAGCGAUGAGGAGGAGUGAAAGCCCUAACGAGCAGUGCAGUGGAACUGUGUCUAUCCAAAGGCACAGAUAAUAUUAGUCCAGGUGGAGGGCCAAAUUCUCUGACUCACUCACAAAAAAAAUCACGCUGAGGUUCACCAAAGACAGUGGAAUUAAUCUAGUGUGAAAAUAAUACGAGAGGACAAUGUCAGACUCCAAAAUGUUGACCUCCUUGGAUUUCUAGGGUGCAGUGACUCAUGUGUGUGUAUAUUGCUCGCAGGGAUAGAGACGCACCCACAGCUCCUGCAGAGGACUGCAGAGAGACAAAAGAUAUGAAAAAAAAAAUGCUAACUAGAUGAUAGGAUUUGUCCUGCAUUGUAUACAUCAUUUAAAAUCAGAAGGAAGAUUUAAUUGAAUUUGGUUGGAAUUUUGCUUGGAUAAGGAAGUAGUAGCUGAAAUGAGAGAUGGAAAGCAUCUCUCACCAGCCCUGAGUUCACAGAAGAGUGGCUCUCUGCAUACUGUGGGUCAUUCUGCUGGGAGAGGUACGGGUGGCUGCCCUCAGAUCGUUCCUGAGCAUUUCUCAGUGCUGUGUAUCCUUACAUCUGAGUCUCCCCCUUUACCUGUAGAUACUGUCUGACUGAAACACGAUGGUUUUCUUCUAAUCCACUGUAAACACUAAAAUUACAGAUCAUACUUUACAGUCAUCCUGAUUUGAUAAUGCUGAAUAUAUUUAGGUCAUUUACUUUUGUCUGUUUUUUUUCCCCCUUUUCUAGCUGAUUCAGGCCUCUGCAUGUGGCAACCAGUCCUACCUAUUUUAACCCUAUUCCUGCUAGCAUUGCAGCUGCAGAACUAAUCCGUGUGCUCUGACUUCCAGAGAAGUCUGCAUUAAACCUCCCAGGCAGGUGCCAAAGUGAUUCAGCUCAUAUUUCUCACUGAUCCUCUAAAGGUUGGUCUUAUGAUGCUAAGAGCUCCUCCAUGAGUUAAGUCCUUCAUAUAUUUUUGCUCUCUCCAUUGCCUGUUCUCCGCUCUGUUCCCCAGUGUAAUGGCUGAUAAUUAUGCACUUUUCAGUGGUUUAUCUCUCUGCCCAUUGAAGCUAGCAUUUUUUUUUUCUCAGCAGAAGGCUGACUCAUAAGGUAUGCUGCCUUCUAUCCUUAGAAAAAGUGAGUCACUAAUGGAUUUUCAUUGUAAAUUCAAGAGCCAUAGACUGAAAUUUUGUCCUCUCAGUCUGGUCCUGAGAUACGGUUUUCAAUUUGGAAUUUUAGUUAUGUGUCAGUAAGGCUCUGUGAGAUUCAAUAGAUGCUGUACCAGUAGCUGUAUUUUAUUGUAUUGUGUGAGCAUCCCCACUAACUGCAAUAGUUCCGCGCUUUCACUCUUUGUGUGCUGUGUGCUUCCUAUCUAAACACAGAACUCCCUUUACAUCUGCAUCAUGAUACAUCCAGCUUCUGUUCUCACCCAUCACAAAGAGUUCACAGUUGUUUUUCUGGGCUAUGUGAAAGCCAAGGGAACUCGGACAUAAAUAAAGUAAUAUGAAUCCCUUUGGUACUAUUGAAAUAGUAGAAACGGUCCAUUUGCUCUAGCAAUGCUAAUUUGGUGAUCUUUCAAACACUCGGUGAAGAUUCACCAGUUCUUACAAUGUCCCAUGACAGAAAGAUAAAUGCUAUUAUUUCUGCUUUGUAAACAAGGGAAUUGAGGUUGGGGCAGUUUAGGUUGUGAUGGGGAGGCCAUGGAAGCACCGUGGAUGAAAUGCAGGAGUCCCAUACAGUUUUUUCAACAGAGCAAUAUUUUGUUUAAAGGAUUUUGCCACAUUUACAGUCGUUGAGUGAUGUCAGCGUGAAUGAGCAUCUGGCAGAAGCUCUGUCAAGUUGUGACAUAAUUUGCAAUUCACAAGAGGGUACCCAUUUUUGCAUAUCCAUGUUGUGCUCUGUUAAACUGGCUUUGCAGGGUAUUUUGGGGAGAGACAUCUCGAGUCUCUCUGACACCAACAGCAGCUGUUACUUAAAACUGUAUGAUGAAGAUGCCAAGGGGUUGCUGUUAGGGUGGUUGCUUUGUUCUUCAUCACACAGGAGUGGAUACACUGCAAUGACAAGUUUGUAAAUCACAGUUAGUUCCGUUCUCACACCACCCAGUAACCUUCCAAUCUCUCUGUCAACUUCCUGCAGGCCUUGGGAAGCUAUAAUUUGUGAUAAAAAUGGGAGUUGAAAUGUUACAUGUAUAUCAGAGCCGAAAAUUUGUGGCUGGAUGACCUUUUCAUUUUCAGCAAACGCACUCAUUUCCUUUGCCUUGCUUACUGUUUUCCUCUGAAGCUCGGCAUAAUAGGAAAUCCUCCACAAUUGUUCUCAUUAAUCAGUGGCUCCAUUGUGCCGGCUGCCGCUCCUUUCGAUGAGCAGCACGGAGCAUCUCGGCCUGCUUCUCAUGGGGAGCACUGUGCCGCCGAGCAUCGGUGUCCCAGGAGCUUGAAUGGUUCAGUUCAGCUGUGAUGGAUGAGAGAACACCACCGGCAACACGUGUGGCAUUCAGAUGGCUGUCAGAAUUAGGAAGCAGGCCCCUCAUUUUCAGUUUAGAGAAAAAGGAGAAACAGGCACCCACUGGAUUUUACAGAGAUAUUUCUCAUGCUUGCGAUUAAGCUUAGGUGAAUAAUGAAAACAAAGAGAUGGUAAAUUUAGAUUUCGCCUCGUUUCCAUACGUGAGGUAAUAUGAUUUGUCAUGUCACUGCCAAUAUUUGCAUAGUCAUCUGACAGUUACACAGAAGGCCUAUGAAUCUCUAGGACAAAUUAUGUCUCUAGAAAUGUAUUCUGAAAUGCCUACUCAUUAGGACUAGCACAUCGUUGUUCAUUUUGGGAUGUGUUUCUCUUUGUCAUCCAGCGAAGGGCCAGAAGUUCUUCAUUGUGGCCAUACAUCACAAACUAUUUUGAAAGAAAAGCUGCAUUUGCAAUAGCUUCAAGUUUCUGAAAUUAAAAGAAAAAAAAAAGGCUAACGUUUCUAAGGUGAUCUGUAAUGCCAACUUAUAUUUGGUAAAGCAUAAACAAAACCAUAGUGACAGAUGGGUGCUCAGGAAGCUGAUGGUUCUCCAAGUCUUAUCUUUUGCUUCCUGUUGCAGCACAGCGGUGUUGACAUCAUGUUCCUGCACAUGCAAUAUGCAAAAAGCUUGGGACUCGUAAUUCAGCAGUUGCAUAAAUAAACAAUUUUGCUCGUUGCUAUUGA